rnacentral:rRNA from 1 species
UCCGUAAUGCACCGACGCCGUAUGGUGGAUGACUUGGCUUGGGUGGCGACGAAGGACGCGGCAAGCUGCGAAAAGCCCCGGGGAGGCGCACGCAUCCAUUGAUCCGGGGAUUUCCGAAUGGGGUAAAACCUACCGAGAUUGCCGCAAGGCGUCUCGGUGAUCCGAAAGGAUCGCGAACGCUGGGGAAGGAAACAUCUGAGUACCAGCAGGAAGAGAAAUCAAUUGAGAUCCCGUUACUAGCGGCGAGCGAAAGCGGGACAGCCCAAACCGAAUCCCCUGGUGAAAGCCAGGGGAGAUGUGGGGUUCGCCUUCAGCGUGUGCGACCCUGGAACCGAUAGCCAAACUCGGCUGGAAAGCCGGGGAACAGAGUGUGAUACCCACGUAGGCAAAUCGGGACCGAGGUCGUGCUGAGGGCAGAGUACCUGGCCUUGGCAGUGGCUAGGGAACAUGGGGGAAAGCAGCCUCCAAGGCUAAACACUACCCAAGACCGAUAGCAAACUAUGUACCGCGAGGGAAAGUUGCAAAGGGCCCCGAAAGGGGUGUGAAAAGAGCCUGAAACCAUACGGUUACAGACGUGCGCGGCAUGGAAGGAGUACGAUCCUUGAGCGAGUCCCGCAAGGGGCUCAAUUGAGGGUAAGUGCUCCGGUGUCGCGCAUUCCGUCUAGAAACACGGGCCAGGGAGUUAACUGUCAUGGCGAGCCUAAGGGUUUGAAGCCCGGAGGCGAAGCGAAAGCGAUACUCCGCAAGGCCGCAAGGCCCCAGGGAGGAGGUGUGAAAGUGCCUUUGAGUCAUGGCGGUUUAGACUAGAAACCGAGUGAUCGUGCCCUCGACAAGGUGAAGCCGGGCGAAAGCCUGGUGGAGGCCUGACAGGGUCUUAACGUGCAACUUAGUCCCCUGAUCGGGGGCAAGGGGCCAAAAGCCUAUCUAACUCGGUGAUUGCUAGUUCCCACCGAAGCGGAUCCCAGUCCUGUCUCCGUGGAUGUAGCCCACGCUGUAGAGCACCGAUGAAGAAACAAGGAUCCGAAAGGGUCCACUUCUUUUUCGAACUCCGAAUGUGUGGGCGCAGAAGAAGCGGGGAAGCGGGUUUAUGUGGGGUAAGCCUCAUAACCGAGAGGGGAUUAACCCAGACUGGAGUUAAGGUCCCCAAGUUUAGGCUAAGUGUCAAGCUAAAGGGCGUCCGUGAGCUCAGACAGCAGGGAGGUAGGCUUAGAAGCAGCCACCCUUCAAAGAUAGCGUAACAGCUCACCUGCCGAGCUCGCAGGCCCCGAAAAUGGACGGGACUAAAGCCUAGCACCGAUACUCCGGACAGCUACUCUGAGAGUAGCUUGUGGUAGGUGGGCGUAGAGAUUGGGCGGAAGCCGGGCCGUGAGGUCCGGUGGACCGAUUUCUAGUGCAGAUCCUGGUAGUAGUAGCAGCAUAGUCGGGUGAGAAUCCUGACCGCCGCAAGGGCACGGGUUCCCUGGCAAUGCGUCGUCAGCCAGGGGUUAGCCGAUCCUAAGUGUAUCCUCAACAGGGAAACACGAACCAGGGAAACUGGUUAAAAUUCCAGUGCCUUCGUAUGACCGAUGGGCCGCAAGGCCCGAUAUCGACUCCGAUGCUUCGAGGUAGGACGUGCAGAGUUUAUCGCUCUGUCUAAUCUUCCGAGUCGUGGGGAGUGUCGUAAUGACGAGAACCACGUCGAGGGGAGAAUGGCAGCCCGUUGGGGUUGUUCGCCCAAUCCUCGGAGACAGUGAAAACGGAGUUGGAAAGGCCAUGCGAAGAUCGUACCCAGAACCGACACCGGUGCCCCUAGGUAAGAAGCCUAAGGCGUGUCGGGGAACUGUAGGUAAGGGAACUCGGCAAAAUAGUGGCGUACGUUAGCUAGAAGCCAUGCCUGCAUUCUUCAUGUGAAAUGGGGUUUGCAGGUUGCAAUAACAAGGGGGUCCCGACUGUUUACUAAAAACACAGUAAGCCGCAAGUCCGAAAGGAUGUGUACGGCUUAUGAAUCCUGGCCAGUGCAGGUACCUAAAACCUGGGUUCAACUGGGCUAAGGGCCUGUAAACGCCGGGAGUAACUCUGACUCUCUUAAGGUAACGUUGUUGCCUUAACAAAAUCUGGCUAUAUGCUGGAAAGUCUGGGAAUGCCACACUAGUCAUGGGUGCUUAAAGGCACCAGUUGACUAACAACGUGUUGGCUGCAGAUGAUCAGCAGGAAAGGCUAGACGCCAACUGGGUAGUUGGAUUCGUGGAUGGCGAAGGUUGCUUCCACGUCUCCAUCAACAGACAACCAAAGAUGACUACCGGCUGGCAAGUGUUGCCAGAAUUCAGGGUAGUCCAACACAAGAAAAGCGAAUCAGUCCUAUUCAGAAUGCAACAGUUCUUCGGAGCAGGGACGGUCGUGGGAAACCACGGCUGGAGACGGGAACUGCGCAUCCGGAAACUGGACGACCUCAGGAGGGUCGUCGCAUUCUUCGAGAAAUAUCCACUCCAAACCAAGAAACAGGAGGACUUCGCGCUGUUCCGACAGACCAUCGCCUCGAUGGAAAAGAAGGAACAUCUGACGAAGGAAGGCCUCACGAAGAUAGCACAAAUCAGCUGGAAGAUGAACAAGAAAGUCAAACCCAGAUACUUGGCCUAGCAUCCUCAGAGACUAUACGCCGGAAGCCGAACUAGCAUCGGCUAAGAUAUAGUCCGACCCAUGCAGCGAUGCAUGGAGACCUGGAGAAAUCCAGGCCCGCCUUCGCACGGCGAAGGUCUACGGAAAGCAACAGAUGUGAGCCAAAUGCCUUGUCGGGUAAGUUCCGACGUGCAUGAAUGGACCAACGAGGGCCCCGCUGUCCCUAUCUACGACCCGGCGAACCUACGUAAGGUGGACGAACAGUCCAUCAACUUCCAUCGGGGAGAGAAGUCCCUGUGGAGCUUUACUGCAGCUUGUUGCUGCGAUGCGGUUUUCUUUGCAGAGUGUAGCUGGGAGACUUCGAAGCGCUGCUUUCGGGCGGCGUGGAGUCAACAAUGUAACACCAGCCUUAGUGGACUGCGUCGCUAACUCCUAAGGGAGGACAACGGCAGGUGGGCAGUUCGGCUGGGGCGGCACCCCCUUGAAAAGAUAUCGAGGGGGCCCUAAGGUCGGCUCAUCUGGGUCAGAACUCCAGAGUUGACGGCAAGGCGAAAAGCCGGCCUGACAGGAAGUUUAAACGCAGAACUUUCUGCAACGAAAGUUUGGCCUAGCGAUCCUCCAAGUCCUCACUGUUGGGGGCUGGAGGUGACAGAAAAGUUACCCCAGGGGUAACAGGCUCGUCGCGGGCGAGAGCUCCAAUCGACCCCGCGGUUUGGUACCUCGGCCCAUCAGGGCCUUGGGGCAGAAUCGUGGUAACGCGAUUGAAGAUCCGCAGAAAAUCGAGUAUCGGCUUAUAUCGGCGAAACCCGACCUCCUUUAUCC